AAAUUCAUUCGCGUUUCGAUCGUCGAAGUUAGACGUUCGCAAGACGGAUGACGUUUCGGCGUCGUUUGCUUCUUACGGUUAUCGAAUCGAUGUCGAACGCGUGCACUUUUCCUCUAGUAGGACGUCGCGAUCCGUUGGGUGUCUGUCUAAGGCUCGAGGUGGAGCCCGUGCGGUUAAUUUCAUCGUUAAUCGUGCGGACCCUCGACGUCCCGACAGACUCGCUCGACGGUAUACUAAUGGCGUGGGGCCGCUAUUUUACAAUUAGCGUUCGGCCCGUAGCAAGCGCGUUCUGUGUUUGACGGUCAUCGGACCUAGUGCCGAUCUCGUCCCGGAACGACUGUUGGUUGCGGUGCUCUCGAACAGACCUCC
rnacentral:rRNA from 1 species